UUCUCAAUGGAAUGAAAACAUAAAGUAAUUUUAUGUUUAAAAUGAAGAUAAAUAACAAACAGGCUGUGAAUAGCUGUAUCAAAUGGAACUGACAAACAGAAAAAGAAGAAAACAUGCAGGCAAUGGAGAAAUGGAAACGAGAGGCCAAAGUGGAGACAGAAAAAGACCAAAAGAAUCAAUAUCAGCAGACCUGGCUUUCCGACAGCGCUU
rnacentral:lncRNA from 1 species